CCUACGGGAGUCAGCAGUGGGGAAUAUUGGGCAAUGGGCGCAAGCCUGACCCAGCAACGCCGCGUGACGGAAGAAGGCUUUCGGGUUGUAAACUUCUUUUAAGAGGGAAGAGCAGAAGACGGUACCUCUUGAAUAAGCCACGGCUAACUAAGUGCCAGAAGCCGCGGUAAGACGUAGGUGGCAAGCGUGGUCCGGAUGUACUGGGGGUAAAGGGCGUGCAGCCGGGAAGACAAGUCAGAUUGGAAAUCCCGCGGCUCAACCGCGGAACUGCAUUUGAAACUGGUUUUCUUGAGUACCGGAGAGGUCAGCGGAAUUCCUUGUGUAGCGGUGAAAUGCGUAGAUAUAAGGAAGAACACCAGUGGCGAAGGCGGAUGACUGGACGGCAACUGACGGUGAGGCGCGAAAGCGUGGGGAGCAAACAGGAUUAGAUACCCCUGUAGUC
rnacentral:rRNA from 1 species